UCUCUUUCUCUUCGUCCCAAAACUUCUUCUUCUCUUUUCAUUGCAAACUCAAAUAAACCCUAAACCUAAAACCAUUGAUAUUUGCUGCAAACUAAACCUAAAAUCAAAUCAGUUACCCUAAACCUUAAAUCAAAUUCAUUCCUUUUGAACGAAAUCUAGGGUUUAGUCUUUUCGAACACAAAAAAUUUGUGCUGCUGAAAUACAGAGCAGAAAAGAAAUUCUGAAGAUGUCGAAGAAGAACAAUUAAAUUUAUCACGAAGGACAAACCAAUACGAAUUCGAUCUCAGAAGAGAAAAGAAGGCAAAGAAAUUACAAGCUAAGAAAGGAAAGAUGAAGAUGGGAGAAUGGAUUUCGAUGUGAUGCGUUGCUCCACAAAACCAAUGAAUUAGUUGCGAAAGCCUUCUCUAAAUAAUCUUGCAGUUGCAAAUAACUUCCCUGCAGUUGAUAAGCUUCAUGCAGUAAUCAGCAUUGGAUUUCGACAAGUACAAAAAUAUCUGCAGAAAUUGAAGACACCAUGGAAGAUGUUGAAUACAAAUAAACUCUCCAUGUGGUGUUACUUCUGUUCAAGGGUCUAGGAUGCUGCCAAAGUUGAACCUGUGGUAAACUCUCCAUUUAACAGUACCCUGUAAGCUUUCGUAGCGUAGUGAUGUAACAUGUCUUGGUCAUUACAUAUUGAGUAAUUUUCUAAUUUAAGGUAGAAACGCUGAAGUUGUUGAAGGGUUUGUGUUGGUAGUACCAUCUUGAACCAUAACCAUUUAACAGAAUGAACCUAGAUGUAUGUUUAGGACAUGAUUUGAGAAGCAGGUUGUGGGACUGGAGUUCGGUAUGUUUAUGGUGCAGUUUAGUUGUUGCAGGUGAUGCUUUUGGUGUUGUGUUGGUGUUGUAGCUGUAGCAUUUGUGGUGAACAGGGAAGAAUUGAAGAUUCAGGUCUGGUGUUGAUCAGUGGAGUUAAAUCUCAGCUGGCAUUUGCUGGGGUGAUGAAUUAGCAGAUGAUGUUGCUUCUGGUGCCAAGAAUUAAAAAAUGGUGUUGAAUGUAAACACCAAAUUGUUAUUGCAGGUGGUAUGUGUUGUUGCAGUAACUGGAGUUGAUGUUGCUUGAGUUAAGAAGCUGAAAAUGGCUAGGUAGUUUUGGUGGGGGUUGUGAUUGAGUUUAAAUGGCAGGCAGAGAAUAUGAGCUAUUGAACUGGUGAUGGCGGGUAAGAAGAAGUACUUACUACUAUGGUGAAGGUUACAGAGACUAGAUGAAUGAACCUCACUGCUAUGGCUAGGCAGAGACUGGAUGCUCAUUGAUGGUUAUGGUUCAAGAUGGUACUGAGAUGAAGAUGAUGUUGCUAAAAGAAGUAUGAGUUGCAGCUGGAAGUGGUGUUGGUGAUGUGUGCAAGUGAGGUUGGUUUAAGGUUGUUGGCUGGGGAAUUGCAGAAUGGAUGAGCUGAGAAUUUGAGCUGAAAAUGCAGGUUGAAUUGAUUUUCAUGUUCAAGAAGUUACAGACAGUGGGUGUGAAUGAAGAAUAUUAUGCUGGUGGAUGGUUGCAGGUGGAAUAAGAAAUGGAAGUUGCAAUGGUUGAGGGACUGGUUGAAUGGAGACAGAAACUGAGACUAGAUUGAGAAGAUUCAGGUUGGGUGGAAUUCAGAUUGCAGCUGGGAGGUUGUGUUGCACUUGAACAUCAGUUGUGUAUGGAGCUAAAGAUUGCAGAAGCUAAGUUAUGAGAUGUAGUAGGUGGAAGUGACGUCGAGCCAUAAUGGCUGGAGCUGAAGUUGUGAUGCGCAAACAUGGCUCAACACAUUGGUUAGGCCGUGCAAUGGCCUUGGCCAACAUCAACUCAGCCCAUUCAGUUAAGUCAGUUAGCUGACUUUGGCACUAACUCGAAUCUGAUGAACUCAGCUGAUACUGAGUUGAGUAUCUGACUCGGUAUGCUUGACCGAGUGGACUCACGGAACCAACAGAUACUUUGGGAAAUGGUGCCUAAUUUGAAGUUUUGAUUCUUUACUUUCAAAGUUACCAAGUAGCAUUAGGUACUUUCAUAUUACAAAGUAGAAGUAACAUAAAAGGAUUUGUCUAGAUACAUCUCAAUUGCUUAGUUAAUUCUAUUCAUUUGUCUGGAUCGUCCCUUAUAAUUGUCAUUGGUGCUUACAUGGACCUAUCAAUAUAUGGAAUGAUUUAUUGGUUGUA